CUACGGGUUGCUGCAGUCGAGAAUCUUCUGCAAUGGGCGAGAGCCUGACAGAGCGACGCCGCGUGGAGGAUGAAGGCCCUCGGGUCGUAAACUCCUGUCACAAGUUAAGAAACGUACGGGUUCACUCGUACGCUGACGAAGGCUUGAGAGGAAGUCACGGCUAACUUCGUGCCAGCAGCCGCGGUAAGACGAAGGUGGCGAGCGUUAUUCGGAUUUACUGGGCAUAAAGCGCGCGUAGGCGGCUCGGCCAGUCGGAGGUGAAAUCCCGCAGCUCAACUGCGGAACUGCCCCCGAUACUCCGAGCUUGAGUGCAGGAGGGGUGACCGGAACUCCAGGUGUAGCGGUGAAAUGCGUAGAGAUCUGGAGGAACACCAGAGGCGAAGGCGGGUCACUGGACUGCAACUGACGCUGAGGCGCGAAAGCUAGGGGAGCAAACAGGAUUAGAUACCCCAGUAGUC
rnacentral:rRNA from 1 species